rnacentral:rRNA from 1 species
UACGGAGGGAGCUAGCGUUGCUCGGAAUUACUGGGCGUAAAGCGCGCGUAGGCGGCUUUGUAAGUUAGAGGUGAAAGCCCGGGGCUCAACCCCGGAAUUGCCUUUAAGACUGCAUCGCUAGAAUCCGGGAGAGGUGAGUGGAAUUCCGAGUGUAGAGGUGAAAUUCGUAGAUAUUCGGAAGAACACCAGUGGCGAAGGCGGCUCACUGGACUGGUAUUGACGCUGAGGUGCGAAAGCGUGGGGAGCAAACAGG